rnacentral:rRNA from 1 species
CCCUUAGAUGUUCUGGGCUGCACGCGCGCUACACUGAAGCGUUCAACGAGUAUUCACCUUGCCCGGGAGGGUUGGGUAAUCUUUUGAAAACGCUUCGUGAUCGGGAUAGAUUCUUGUAAUUUUUGAUCUUAAACGAGGAAUUCCUAGUAAACGCAAGUCAUCAGCUUGCAUUGAUUACGUCCCUGCCCUUUGUACACACCGCCCGUCGCACCUACCGAUUGAAUGGUCCGGUGAAAUCUCCGGACUGGCGUGAGUCGGAGCAAUCUGACAAACGCCGGAAAGUUGAUUAAACCUUACCAUUUAGAGGAAGGUGAAGUCGUAACA